GAUGAACGCUGGCGGCGUGCCUAAUACAUGCAAGUCGAGCGAACAGACGAGGAGCUUGCUCCUCUGACGUUAGCGGCGGACGGGUGAGUAACACGUGGAUAACCUACCUAUAAGACUGGGAUAACUUCGGAAAACCGGAGCUAAUACCGGAUAAUAUAUUGAACCGCAUGGUUCAAUAGUGAAAGACGGUUUUGCUGUCACUUAUAGAUGGAUCCGCGCCGCAUUAGCUAGUUGGUAAGGUAACGGCUUACCAAGGCAACGAUGCGUAGCCGACCCGAGAGGGAGAUCGGCCACACUGGAAGUGAGACACGGUCCAGACUCCUACGGGAGGCAGCAGUAGGGAAUCUUCCGCGAUGGGCGAAAGCCUGACGGAGCAACGCCGCGUGAGUGAUGAAGGUCUUCGGAUCGUAAAACUCUGUUAUUAGGGAAGAACAAAUGUGUAAGUAACUAUGCACGUCUUGACGGUACCUAAUCAGAAAGCCACGGCUAACUACGUG
rnacentral:rRNA from 1 species